ACGUGACAAGGUCCCUUUGUCCUAUUACAGAACAUCUUAUUGGUAACCGUGCAAAAUCAGUAUCAAAUAAUUGGGGAGUAUUUAAUUUUCAAAAAUUGAACAUUUCGUCACAUAUCUCUAGAAGAUUAAUAUUGCAUUAAAUAUUAAAGUUAUAUUUUUUUACUUUUCUCGAAUGGAGUGCAAUAGUUUUGCUAGCGAUGAUGAAAAUUCACCAACUAAUAUAUGAGUUAUUGAUUCAUUUAGUUCUGUGUACCUAAUUCCCCCAGUAGAAAUUACAAUUCGUUUCAACUUUUCUUC